GCAGUGAGGAAUAUUGGACAAUGGGCGCAAGCCUGAUCCAGCCAUGCCGCGUGCAGGAUGACGGUCCUAUGGAUUGUAAACUGCUUUUAUACGAGAAGAAACAUCCCGACGUGUCGGGACUUGACGGUAUCGUAAGAAUAAGGAUCGGCUAACUCCGUGCCAGCAGCCGCGGUAAUACGGAGGAUCCAAGCGUUAUCCGGAAUCAUUGGGUUUAAAGGGUCCGUAGGCGGUUUAAUAAGUCAGUGGUGAAAGCCCAUCGCUCAACGGUGGAACGGCCAUUGAUACUGUUAGACUUGAAUUAUUAGGAAGUAACUAGAAUAUGUAGUGUAGCGGUGAAAUGCUUAGAGAUUACAUGGAAUACCAAUUGCGAAGGCAGGUUACUACUAAUUGAUUGACGCUGAUGGACGAAAGCGUGGGUAGCGAACAGGAUUAGA
rnacentral:rRNA from 1 species